rnacentral:rRNA from 1 species
UUGUUGGUAAGGUAAAAGCUUACCAAGGCCUCGAUCAGUAGCUGGUCUGAGAGGACGACCAGCCACACUGGGAUUGAGACACGGCCCAGACUCCUACGGGAGGCAGCAGUGGGGAAUUUUGGACAAUGGGGGCAACCCUGAUCCAGCCAUGCCGCGUGAGUGAAGAAGGCRUUCGUUGUAAAGCUCUUUCAGCCGGAACGAAACGGUUACGGAUAACACCCGUGACUACUGACGGUACCGGAAGAAGAAGCACCGGCUAACUACGUGCCAGCAGCCGCGGUAAUACGUAGGGUGCGAGCGUUAAUCGGAAUUACUGGGCGUAAAGCGUGCGCAGGUGGUUUUGUAAGUCAGAUGUGAAAGCCCCGGGCUCAACCUGGGAACUGCGUUUGAAACUACAAGACUAGAGUGUGGCAGAGGGGGGUGGAAUUCCGCGUGUAGCAGUGAAAUGCGUAGAGAUGUGGAGGAACACCGAUGGCGAAGGCAGCCCCCUGGGUCAACACUGACGCUCAGGCACGAAAGCAUGGGGAGCAAACAGGAUUAGAUACCCUGGUAGUCCAUGCCCUAAACGAUGUCAACUAGUUGUCGGGCCUUUACGGGCUUGGUAACGUAGCUAACGCGUGAAGUUGACCGCCUGGGGAGUACGAUCGCAAGAUUAAAACUCAAAUGAAUUGACGGGGACCCGCACAAGCGGUGGAUUAUGUGGAUUAAUUCGAUGCAACGCGAAAAACCUUACCUACCCUUGACAUGUAUCGAAGCCCGCAGAAAAGCGGGGGUGCCCGAAAGGGAACGAUAACACAGGUGCUGCAUGGCUGUCGUCAGCUCGUGUCGUGAGAUGUUGUGUUAAGUCCCGCAACGAGCGCAACCCUUGUCAUUAAUUGCCAUCAUUUAGUUGGGCACUUUAAUGAGACUGCCGG